rnacentral:rRNA from 1 species
AUUGAACGCUGGCGGCAUGCUUUACACAUGCAAGUCGAACGGUAACAGGGUGCUUGCACCGCUGACGAGUGGCGAACGGGUGAGUAAUGCAUCGGAAUGUACCGUGUAAUGGGGGAUAGCUCGGCGAAAGCCGGAUUAAUACCGCAUACGCCCUGAGGGGGAAAGUGGGGGACCGAAAGGCCUCACGUUAUACGAGGAGCCGAUGUCUGAUUAGCUAGUUGGUGAGGUAAAGGCUCACCAAGGCGUCGAUCAGUAGCGGGUCUGAGAGGAUGAUCCGCCACACUGGGACUGAGACACGGCCCAGACUCCUACGGGAGGCAGCAGUGGGGAAUUUUGGACAAUGGGCGCAAGCCUGAUCCAGCCAUGCCGCGUGUCUGAAGAAGGCCUUCGGGUUGUAAAGGACUUUUGUCCGGGAGCAAAUCCUAGUGGUUAAUACCUACUGGGGCUGAGAGUACCGGAAGAAUAAGCACCGGCUAACUACGUG